GACGAACCGUGCGAACGUUGUUCGGAAUCACUGGGCUUAAAGGGCGCGUAGGCGGGUUCGCAAGUCAGGGGUGAAAUCUUUCAGCUUAAUUGGAAAACAGCCCCUGAUACUGCGAGUCUCGAGGGAGGUAGGGGCAUGUGGAACUUCCGGUGGAGCGGUGAAAUGCGUAGAUAUCGGAAGGAACGCCGGUGGCGAAAGCGCUCUACUGGACCGCAACUGACACUCAGGGACGAAAGCUAGGGGAGCGAAUGGG
rnacentral:rRNA from 1 species